ACACCAUGAGACCUGCUAUUACACAGGCACAAAUUCCUUGGGGGCACAGACUAAGAGGUUUUUCUUGGCCAGGGUAAACAGAGAAGGCUUUAUUUGACUGGACCUCGGAGAUGGAGAAGAUUUAAAGACACGGGAAUGGAAGAGAAGAGCCAUUUCAGUUAGAGACAACAGUGAGAACACAUAGCUGGUGCCAGGGAAGGAAAUGCCUGUCAGUGUCAGGGCAGGCACUGGCAGGGGACUGGAGUGGGGUGAGAUUGGGUUGAUGGGGGAGGCUGAGUCAGAGCAUGGAGAGCCUUUUAGGAAUCUGAGCUCCCCUUCAUGGGCAGCGGGAAUCCUUUGGAGGAUCCUGAGCUGAUUACUGGAAGGGCCAGUGGAUAGUAAAGUCAGAUUCCCAGAGGGUAAGGCAAGGCUGCGCUGAUCACACACCGGCAUGCACAGGUGUGCCGGAGGGGAUGAGGAAGGACAAAUUAGUGACGUGAUGACAGUUGCACUCAGGCACUCCAUCUUAUAUGGACCAUCCGUAACUCUAAUUCCCCUCUUGCUUCCUUUCCCGCACUCUUUCCUCCUCCGUCUCCUUUGAGCUCUCCACAACCUCAGUCAAAACAUUCUGCCCCACUAGGCAGGCUUCGUGAAACUUCUUUCCUUCCCUCCCUGCCUCUCAGCUCCCUUGGUUCACAACUAGUCACUCUUUCCAGUACCCUCUUAAGCCUUGUUCCCACAGAUAGCAGGAAAAUUGGGGGGAAAUCCUGCUGACAUGGAUCCUAUGCUUGUAGGAUUUCCUGGAAAUUCAUCUCCCCAGAUAGAAACCAAGCUCCCACUGAAUGAAGCCUUGUCACCCUGGGCCUCUGGCUUUUCUUGAUGGUCUGGGCGACUUUCCUUCGUUGUGUGUUCUGACCACCAAGGCUUGGCCCCAUGGGACCAAGGGGGACGACCGGAGGGCAUGCAGGUGGCUUCUCGUGCAUAUUUUCCUGCUCCCCUUUGUGUUACUCUCGUGUCACUAUUGAAGAUCGUUCUCCCCUACAGAUAAUUUGCUCUGGUCGGGGCUUUGGAAUAGGGAAGUAGCCAUGAUAAGUUUCGAGAAACUAAAGAACACACCAGGGGUGGGAGUUCCCCUGAGUCACCUCCUCUGAAGCAGCCAAAAGCCCAGCCAACUUUGGAGAAAGGAGAAGUU
rnacentral:lncRNA from 1 species